AGCCAGCCAGAAUAGAGCUCACAGCCGCUGUGUGUCUGGUGACACAGGGACCAUGAUGGAAAUUCAUCUUCCAGAAAGUCCCAGAGCAGCAUCCACACCCCACAAAAGACCAAGAUGUAAGGUGUCUGCUGUUGAUUCCAGCUUCCACCUCAGUGACAGUGCAAGCUCAGUGAACUGUUCAAGGAGGCUACUGAUUCUGGCCCUGUGACACUUGGUGGUGACGUGUGAGCUGAUUCACCUGGACACUCAGCAAAAUAUAGACUCUACACCAUGAGGCAGGCACACGUUAAUAUUCUAUAAGAGCACAUAAGCCUGGCUGAUCACCUGAUAACUCCUGUCAUCUGGUUGUGACAGCAUGAGGAUGUCCUCACACACCUGUAACCUAUCAGCUCAUCUGGCAGAAUAGAGAGAGAAGAGACAACACCACAUCUCCUGUUCCUGGAAAGCCUUCAGCCAUCCUUCGAUGACUGAGAACCUCCAUCAGCUCGGUCUCCUGUCUGCCUACUAUUAUUAUAAUAAAUAGUGUGUUUGACAAGUUUUUUGUGCUGCCAAAUAUCUCAUAUAGAUUCCAGUUUUGAUAUUUUAAUGGAUAUUUAUAAAUUACAUUGAUUAUCACAUUUUUGUUGCAUGUUUAACUAGCUCUAUUGUGAUGAAUUAAACUAGCACCUCACUGUUAAAAGCUCGUUUUAAUUUGAAGCAUGUUUAAGUAUUUAUGGACAUGAACAAAAACAGGAAAUAUAUAAAUUGAGAUUUAUUUAAUUAACAUAACAAAUAAGGGGGAAAGAGUCAUUGAAAGGCACAUUCUUCUGGAAGCUCCUGAUCCUGACGACACCAGCAGAGGAGACCACCUGCAGACACCAGAGGACCUAGAACCAAGAGAGCAGCUGUUAUUAGUAAAUAAAUAAAUCAGGGCAGUUUUAGUGGGCUGAACACAUUACAGAAUAAUUUUCUCAUGGGGUAGUUUCAUAAUUUUAUGCAGCAGACUGUAACUUGAGCCCAGGGCUCCUGGAGACCUGCUAUCCAGCACGUUUCAGUGGUUUUCCUGCUUUAACAGGUUAGAUUAGCUGUUAAGCAGCUCAGCUAUUUGUUGCUGAUUAAAACCAGGUGUGUUGAAGCAGGUAAACCUCUAAAACAUGCUGAAUACUAGCUUUUUAGGGCCGUGGAGCCAAACCCUGCAGCUAAUCCAAUGCUAUGGCUAACGGCUACUUACCAUUCAGAGCUGGUUCUGUUGGAUCGGUUCCGCUAGUUUCAGGCAACUCACAAGCUCAAAACAAUAAGGCUCAGGUCCGCUUGUCUCCUCCAAAUAGACUUGGUCCCUUUCUUCUCGAGUGUCUGGGUAAGGAGGGGGAGAAACCUCCUCCACUUCUAAUAACUGCUCAGAGUGAAGGGAGCUAGCUUCGUCUAGGUAGCCAUCGUCUUUGUCACUGCCGCGGCUCCGCCCUCUCGGUCCUCCAGGCAACGCCUACUAAUGUUGCAUUUUUUAAAAUUGAUACGUGGGUGGAGAAGGACUCCGAGGCACACUUGACCCGCUCUUUAAGUCAGUAUGGAAUAAGAGGUGUGGCUCAUCAAUUGGUUAAAACUUAUUUAGAAAAAAUGAAACAGUUUGUUUUGAUAAAGGACCAUAAAUCAAAACUAUGUGAAAUGAAUUGUGGAGUGCCACAAGGGUCGGUCCUCGGACAAAAACUGUUCAUUUUGUUUAUUAACGACUUGGUAAAUGUAUCUAAAACACUCGGUACCAUUCUAUUUGCAGAUGAUGCAACACGGUUUCUUCAGGAUCAAAUAUUGAGGAGGUGGCUAAAGUGAUAAAUGAUGAACUGAUUAAAAUUAAA